rnacentral:rRNA from 1 species
GAUGAACGCUGGCGGCGUGCCUAAUACAUGCAAGUCGAGCGAACAGACGAGGAGCUUGCUCCUCUGACGUUAGCGGCGGACGGGUGAGUAACACGUGGAUAACCUACCUAUAAGACUGGGAUAACUUCGGGACACCGGAGCUCAUACCGGAUAAUAUAUUGAACCGCAUGGUUCAAUAGUGAAAGACGGUUUUGCUGUCACUUAUAGCUGGAUCCGCGCCGCAUUAGCUAGUUGGUAAGGUAACGGCUUACCAAGGCAACGAUGCGUAGCCGACCUGAGAGGGUGAUCGGCCACACUGGAACUGAGACACGGUCCAGAGUCCUACGGGAGGCAGCAGUAGGGAACCUUCCGCAAUGGGCGAAAGCCUGACGGAGCAACGCCGCGUGAGUGAUGAAGGUCUUCGGAUCGUAAAACUCUGUUAUUAGGGAAGAACAAAUGUGUAAGUAACUAUGCACGUCUUGACGGUACCUAAUCAGAAAGCCACGGCUAACUACGUG